UGAUAGCAACUGUUCAAGGAUCAUGCAUUAAGCAAAAGUACAUUGAUAUAUUUUAUAUUAUUUAAAUACUUUAACUAAAAAAACAACAACAAAUAGGCCAGACAGAGGUGGUCUUCACAAACCGUCCUCUUGUAUCACCCAUUAAACACUGUAAACACGCUUUGUCAUAUUCCAAAUGAUUAUAUUUGUCGUUUGAUUGCCUAUAAUCUUUGUCUGCUGUGAAAAUAGGUGGCUGAAAUGUUCCCUGCUCAGUGUUGAUCAAAGGCUGUCUUUAACAUGACAUACGGAUCAGCAGACACUAAUGAGAGGGCAGUGGCCAGCUGAAUCUCCACAGUAACAAAAGAGGCUGGGACAUCUGGAGUCAGCCACACACAAACUCCUGGAACUCCCACAAACAGAGGAGCAGUCACGACGUGGAGACCAGGAGAUUCGACUUGGGAAAAGGAGGCAUCAUCAGAGAUAAUCCAAGGAGUUAUGGACAGUUUCAUCAGCUUGCUUAUGGAGCCUUGUGAUUACUAAACUGGAACAAAAGGCUUCCCUGAAGAACUCCUGAUCAAAGCACAGCCCAUUUUCUGCUUGACUGUGGCUUCCGCUUGGAAAAGGAAGAUCCAGACAGACUGAGGGAAGACGAGCUUUCAGUCUGUUUUGCGCUCAAAGCUUCCAUCUAGUGGUCAUGUCUCUCCUCUGAUAUGUAGUUUGACAAGUUUCUCAGCAUUUACACACGACUGUAACACGAUCACAAUAUAACAUUUGAGCAUAUACAUCAUGAAAAACUGUACAGGAGAUAAUCAAAUAACACGUGGUAUUAAAGGUGUCGUGAAAUUUUGGGUAAUAUCUGGCAAGCAUGUGUUAUUAAUAAUUUAUUGUUUGGUAUCGAAGUGAGAUUAGUUUUGCUCUAAUUUAUUAUAUGAACCCACUGUUGUGUUGUUUAAUACAAACAUCUGGUUUAGAAAUAGUAUAUGAACCAUAUUUCUAAAUUGAUUUGCAACGUGUAAAAAUGGCAAAACGUCCUUUGAAUAAAAAGUUAUUUGUUAAUGUCUUGCCUCUUAAAAACCAGCCUUAACAAAGAUUUUUUUGUCCAUGGUGUUAAAUUCCACAGAACCUUUAUAAAGUUUUAAAAUAAAUGCUAUAUAGUGAUUAGGAUUUACCGUUAUGUUAAAAAGCACGGAC